rnacentral:rRNA from 1 species
UACGUAGGGUGCGAGCGUUGUCCGGAAUUAUUGGGCGUAAAGAGCUUGUAGGCGGUUUGUCGCGUCUGCUGUGAAAAUCCGGGGCUCAACCCCGGACUUGCAGUGGGUACGGGCAGACUGGAGUGUGGUAGGGGAGACUGGAAUUCCUGGUGUAGCGGUGGAAUGCGCAGAUAUCAGGAGGAACACCGAUGGCGAAGGCAGGUCUCUGGGCCGAUACUGACGCUGAGGAGCGAAAGCGUGGGGAGCGAACAGG